rnacentral:sRNA from 1 species
GCUGGGCGCUAUGGCGCACGCCUGUCAUCCCAGCAGCUUGGGAGGCUGAGGCAGGAGGAUCGCCAGUUCAAAGCCAUCCUCAGCAACAGGGAGGCAUUGAGCAACUCAGUGAGACCCUGUCUCCA